CAAUAGCGUAUAUUAAAGUUGUUGCGGUUAAAAAGCUCGUAGUUGGAUUUCUGCUGAGAACGACCGGUCCGCCCAUUGGGUGUGUAUCUGGCUCUUUCUUGGCAUCUUCUUGGUGAACGUUACUGCACUUGACUGUGUGGAGCGCUACCCAGGACUUUUACUUUGAGGAAAUUAGAGUGUUUCAAGCAGGCAUACGCCUUGAAUACGUUAGCAUGGAAUAAUAAGAUAGGACCUCGGUUCUAUUUUGUUGGUUUCUAGAGCUGAGGUAAUGAUUAAUAGGGAUAGUUGGGGGCAUUCGUAUUUAACUGUCAGGGGUGAAAUUCUUGGAUUUGUUAAAGACGGACUACUGCGAAAGCAUUUGCCAAGGAUGUUUUCAUUGA
rnacentral:rRNA from 1 species